UCCCUCUGCCGCUUGGUCCUCCGACCCUGGAGGGACGAUCCCGCUCAGGUCGAGCUCCGGGUGCAGAUUCUGGAUCGCUUCUCGGGCAUCCUCAUACCCCACCCGGUAGGAGGCAAAGCCGCUCUCGAGGAGAUCCUCUUGGUACUCCUCCGAACCACAGAAGUCCUCCGUCGCCCGACCCAGUGCCUCCCUGGCCGACUCCGCCUCCGCCUUCAAUAUGUCGGCGUCGGCCUGGGUGGAGGACAGGUUCUCCUCAGCCUUGGCCAGGUUCUCCAGGCUAACGCGAAGCUGUUCGCACUCGGCCUCGAGUUCCCUAACGCAGCCAUCCCUCUCGUGCCUCAGUCGGUGAACGGAGCGGGUCUUGCACCGAACCUGCUCGCGGGCCGACUGAAGUUCGGCCUCUGAGGCGGCUAGGCCGUUGGUAAGUCGAGAGAUCUCCUCCUCGAGCCUAGCCUCACGGUCGACCGACGACUUCAGUUGGUCGACUAGCGUCGCCUUCUCAGCCUCGACGAUCUCUGCCUUCUUCUUCCAGGCCGUCUGGAUGUCGUCGAACCUCCGGUACCCGACCUCCAGCUCCGAUAUAUUAUAGAUCAGCUGUGGACGGAAGGCCGACUGUCAGAAGACCGAAUUGAUGGAAAAUAAUAAUGAAGAGG
rnacentral:lncRNA from 1 species